GUGCUCACUUUGACAGCACAUAUACUGAAAUUGGAAGUAUACAGAAAUUAACAUGGCCCUGCACAAGGAUGACACGCAAAUUUGUGCAGUGUUCCAUAUUAUU